GCGCGCGCCGCCCGGGCGGGGAGAGGCCUGCGGGGCCGGCCCGGCCCGGCCCGUCUCGGGAGCCUGCGCCGGGCACCCGGCCGCACGGGGCCUCCGCUGGGCCGGCCCGGGCCUGUCCUCGCGCGUGCCGCGGCGCGGCGGAGGCCUGCAGGCGCCUCGGCCGGGCUCAGGUCCCACGCGGGGCCGGCGCGCGUCUCCGGGGCCCGGUCAGGGUUCGAAUGGCGGGGCAGCUGCGGGGGCUGAGCCCCCCGAAAGAGACAACAGCCCCCUGUAAGAUUUGAAAAUGUGAGCGGGGUCUCCGAUUUUAUCAGAGCUUCGUGAAGGGCAGCCAAUUGUUUUGCACUCCCUCCCCGCACAGUUCGAGCCCUGCCCCUAGUCCGAGGGUAGCCCAGUCCAGACAAGUCAGACCUUGCAGAAGAAGGCACCCCCCAAGCAGGGGGGAAAUCCCUCCUUGCCCCAGUGCAGCUGGGACUCAGCCUGAGCGUGGGGGCAAGACCCUCCAGCCAGCACUCUGCCGGGUUGGAGCCAACAGGAGCAUUGGCACGGCCCAGCCCCAUCCCCAGCGCCUCUGGGAGAGGCUUCAAAACCUGACACAUGGAGCAGAAAGGGGGGUGGGGGCAAUCAGCACAGCCCAGAAGCCCGGGACACCACCACAGCAGAGCACAGGCAUUGCUGGGCCUAGAUCCUCCUGGACCAGUGCCCAUCCAGCCUCUCCUUGACAUCUCCGCUGGUGGGAAGUCCUCCCCUGCUCUGAUGGGGAAGACGUGUUCCUGGAUCUCCAAUGUAAACCUACCUUGCUGCAACUUCCAGCCAUUGGUCCACGUAUUCCUUUCCAAAGGGGUCACAAAGUGCCAUGCCACAGCCACUGCAGGAAAGACACAGGCUACCCUUGAGGGCUGGAGCUGGGAGCACGCUACACCACACACCUGCAUGGCCCAUGUCGCCAGGCACCCCAGUUGCAGCACCCAGAGGACUUGGCCGCACUUGCUUGCUGGAGGAUGCCCCUGCUGCAGCAGCACGCAGCCGAUGUCUGCAGUCACAGAAGAGCCUGUCUGCAGGCAAGCCAGGGAGAGCACGAAUGCAGUCCCGCACUGCCACAAAUUGUGCAGUCGAGUUUCCUGUGUGGGGAAAUCCCAGGGGUCAGCACACCUGAAGUGCAAGGGGUGAGCCUCACCCUGGGGAAACACCACUUUGUUAUUGGUAGUAUUGUUAGUAUUAUUGUGAUGAUGACGAUUAUUGUGUUGGCUACAAAUGUCCAACUCAGGAUCCUUAAAAUUCUGGUUUAUUAGGCGGAUUGAAACACUGUAAUGAGUUAAAUCAUAAACCUUGGGGCUGGUCCCCCCCCCCCCCACACACACACAGUAGCAAGCUACAGAGUCAGGUAUACCUAUCCUACAAGUGCUGGAGUCUGCCGUCAAUGGCCAGUCAAGGCUUCUUUCAGCUUGGUGUUAUCCUCCAGAAGGGGGUUGCCGGCUGGUCCUUCUGGCUGGACAGGUCAGGUGCUGGUCGAGUUGGAAAUCAAGAGGGUGCUGCUGAGGGUCACUUUUCACUGCUUUUUAUCUGUCCUUGGCAGACUUUGGUGACUCCCCAGUUUUCAGGUUUGCCCAAUCCAGGGGUCAUUGACCCUCAUGGGACUUCCCCCCUCGGUGGCUACUGGAUGACAUCUGUCAGCCCCCGGGGUCAUCCACAUGUACGUGCAGGUUUGGGAGUCCAUUGAUGAAUUUUGAAUAGGGCUCUGGGAGUGGUCGAUCUGGAGAUAUUCAGCCCAAAAGUUGGUCCCCGGCAUUGAAUAACUCAGGCCAGGGCUUCUAGCCCUUGAUCAGUGACGUUUAGAGAUUUCCCGGUUGUUACAUUGUCUUCUAUUGAGUUCUUCAGUUGGUUGAUCUGCAGUUUCCUAGGUGUUAAUGGCUGCCUGCUACCAUGUUACACAUUCAAUCACUGAUUCACUCACUCUUUCAGGGGCCAGCCUGAUACAGGGAAGGGCAGUUUGUUUCCUGCCCUUGUUAACAUUGUUACAAUGUAUAACUUACUUAUGAAACUAAACACAUUUAGUUGAAA